ensembl:snRNA U2 U2 spliceosomal RNA
AUAUUAUGUAGAGGAUUAGCUUGAAUCAAAAUGUUACAUCUGUUCUUAACACUUUAAUAACUGAUCCUUCCUCUAACUGAGGACUAUUUAUUGAACUGAUUUUUGGACUAGGGAGAUGGAAUGGCAGCUUGCUCCAUCCACUGCACGCAUCACCCUGUUAUUGCAGUAAUGACAUCCGGGAACACUGGAC